UACAGAGGGUGCAAGCGUUAAUCGGAAUUACUGGGCGUAAAGAGCGCGCAGGCGGUCGUUCAAGUCGCGUGUGAAAGCCCCCGGCUCAACUGGGGAGGGUCACGCGAUACUGAUCGACUCGAAGGCAGGAGAGAGUAGUGGAAUUCCCGGUGUAGUGGUGAAAUGCGUAGAUAUCGGGAGGAACACCAGUGGCGAAGGCGACUACCUGGCCUGUUCUUGACGCUGAGGCGCGAAAGCUAGGGGAGCAAACGGG
rnacentral:rRNA from 1 species